rnacentral:misc_RNA from 1 species
UGAGAGUGAGAGUGAGAGUGAGAGCAUGAUCCAGAUCCACCGUGAGCAUGAUGAUGCUCCUCAUGAAAGAAAAUCAAACCAACUACAUUCACUACAAGCCCUCCAAUUGACACAGUUAAUAAACUAUUAGUUGAUAUCUCUUGUGGAUCCAAAAUUCUCUCAAAUGACUCCAAAACAAUUAGUGCCCCAACGAGAACCAGGAAAACAGCAUUAACAUAUCCUGACAGAACCUCAACCCUUCCCCGUCCAUAGUUGAACUGACUAUUUGCAGGCAAACGUGAAAUAUAAGAAGCAUAUAGACCUAUUGCCAAAGCAGCACAAUCAAACAACAUGUGACAAGCAUCCGAAAUCAAUCCAAGACUGUUACUCAUGAACCCAGCAACAAAUUCAACAACCAUGUAACCAGUGUUAAUCAGAAGAAAAAGUGCAAUCUUGCGAGAUUUUCUCUCACUCAAAAUGUGGCGGAUUGGCUUCAUAAUCGAAGUACUAAGUGGUUCUGGUGAUUCCAAUCCUAGUUCAAGGUAAUUUGAAUAGAAAGGAUCCAACUUCCUAACACCAAAAUACAAUAACAAACCACAUAACAAAAGACCCCAAAGUGACAGCUCCGGGAAGUAGAAUAGCUCCAAAACAAUAGUGCAAACAAAUGUAACAAAAAACUCUCUGUGGAAGUCUUUAGAAGACACUAGCUUGUCUUCACUAUAAUUCUCACUCAACAGCACUCCAAAAACAACAGUAUUAGCCAAUGGCCAACCAAAAUUCCCAAUAGAAACACCAGCCUUAUCUCUUUCAAACAACAUAAAACUCACAACAGCAGGAAUAAACAGCAAAACUGUUGUAUAAAACAAUGAAAUCAAGCGAAUUCGUUUCUGACACAAUUGCCUAAUUGUACCCGAAUUCAAUGAAACACGUUCAUAACAACCCAAAAACCCAGAUAAAAACGGCAACAACAUGGGCGAAAUCCUAAAACAAUUCUGCCUGGGAAACACCGAAAAUCCAUGUCUAACAAUGAAGGAAGUUGAUAAUGGAAAACAAUCAAUCCGAUCCCAACUUAUUGACAACAGAAACAUCCCAAGAAAAAGAGCCAAAAAUCCAGAUAACUUAUUACCAUUAUGAUUCCCAUAUCGACUAGCACCAACACUACGCUUUUUCACCUCAACAAGGAAUCGAGCAGUAACGUUUCCAGACAAUUCAGCGAGAAUCAUAGCUGCAGUUCCACAAUAACGAAGUGCUUGAAAUCUAAGGAGGAAAACAACAGCAAGGAGCAGAGAUUUCGAUAGCAAGAGCUUGUGCUGGGAUUGGGAAAUUGAGGAGAGUGAGAAAAUGGGUUGGUUAGGAUUCCUGAAGUGAAAAGGGGUUUUAGGGGAAGGAGAGGAGAUGAGAGAGAAAGCGAGAGAAAGAAGAAAGGAAAGUAAAGAGACAAGGAAAGAGAGAGGGAAGAGAGAAAAAGAAGGAGAUGAUCGAAGGAAAGGGAGGAGAGAGUAGAGGGAGCGAAGAGAGAAGAGAAGGAGAAAUAGAAAAGGAAGGGAAGAUUUAGAGGAGGAAGAGGAUUUCGAGGGAAGGGAAAGAGAAGAAAGGCGUUGUUUUGAUGGGGUUGGAGUCGGGGUUGUAGAGGAAUACGAAUAAACAGGGUAGGGUCUGGACAAUGAGGUGGUGAUGGUAGAGGAAGCGGGGGAGAAGGUAGAUUCGCGUGGAGGGACGGAGAUGCGGUGAGGGCGGUG